CCAAACAGUCUGUGGAGAAACAGCCUCUGCUGCACUGAGCUGAGCCAGCGGACUUACUUCUCUGGUUGAGGCGGGAAGAUGUCUGAGGCCCCAAUCCAGCAGAUUUCCAUCUCCGUUUGCGGUCUGAGGACAUAUGAGGUGCAGAGCCGGCAGAGUUCCGUCUCUGCUUGUCAGUGGGUGUUGUUUCUCGGUCCUCUUCCAGGAAUUCUUCUGUUGAGGUGCUUGACUGGCCACUACAAACUAAAAAGCUACUCCAAUAGUGCAUGACGUAGUUAUGGAUGACCAGUGCAAAGGUGUUUGCCAUUGAACAUGCCGGCAGGGUUCCGUCUCUGCUUGUCAGUGGGUGUUGUUUCUCGGUCCUCUUCCAGGACUUCUGUUGAGGUGCUUGACUGGCCACUACAAACUAAAAAGCUACUCCAAUAGUGCAUGACGUAGUUAUGGAUGACCAGUGCAAAGGUGUUUGCCAUUGAACAUGCCGGCAGGGUUCCGUCUCUGCUUGUCAGUGGGUGUUGUUUCUCGGUCCUCUUCCAGGACUUCUGUUGAGGUGCUUGACUGGCCACUACAAACUAAAAAGCUACUCCAAUAGUGCAUGACGUAGUUAUGGAUGACCAGUGCAAAGGUGUUUGCCAUUGAACAUGCCGGCAGGGUUCCGUCUCUGCUUGUCAGUGGGUGUUGUUUCUCGGUCCUCUUCCAGGACUUCUGUUGAGGUGCUUGACUGGCCACUACAAACUAAAAAGCUACUCCAAUAGUGCAUGACGUAGUUAUGGAUGACCAGUGCAAAGGUGUUUGCCAUUGAACAUACGGCUCCCAUGUCACAGCGACAUGCGGCCUGCAGUUGAGCAAGGUUGCCGUGUGAACGCAAAGACAUCCUUUUUGACGCAACUUCCACAAUGUCCUCCACUGCGUUCACCUCACUGAACUCAACGCUGUCUUCCACUAAGCAGACAUAGAUUCCAAAGUGCUCCAGGGCACGCUUGACCUCCACCAGGAGAUUCUUCAUUAGACCAAAUGGCUCGGUGGCCCUGCUGGUGUGCGGGCACUCUCUGGCAUACGUUUGCCACAUGGUGCCCUUGAUGAUGACCUUCAGGGUUUCAGGGCUCAUGACAGUGGGGGGGCUGGAGAGAGAUCUCUCUUCAUCCAGGAGGGAGGGAGUCAUCUCCAGGAAAUCUUCAGUCAGCGUCAGGGACCCAUCACUGGCUACAGAGACAUCAUCUCCGUCCUCUGGAACAUCUGUGUCCG